rnacentral:rRNA from 1 species
UGCGAACGGGUGAGUAACGCGUAGGUAACCUGCCUGGUAGCGGGGGAUAACUAUUGGAAACGAUAGCUAAUACCGCAUAAAAUUGGUUAUUGCAUGAUAAUUAAUUGAAAGAUGCAAUUGCAUCACUACCAGAUGGACCUGCGUUGUAUUAGCUAGUUGGUGAGGUAACGGCUCACCAAGGCGACGAUACAUAGCCGACCUGAGAGGGUGAUCGGCCACACUGGGACUGAGACACGGCCCAGACUCCUACGGGAGGCAGCAGUAGGGAAUCUUCGGCAAUGGGGGGAACCCUGACCGAGCAACGCCGCGUGAGUGAAGAAGGUUUUCGGAUCGUAAAGCUCUGUUGUAAGAGGAGAACGGGUGUGAGAGUGGAAAGUUCACACUGUGACGGUAUCUUACCAGAAAGGGACGGCUAACUACGUGCCAGCAGCCGCGGUAAUACGUAGGUCCCGAGCGUUGUCCGGAUUUAUUGGGCGUAAAGCGAGCGCAGGCGGUUAGAUAAGUCUGAAGUUAAAGGCUGUGGCUUAACCAUAGUAUGCUUUGGAAACUGUUUAACUUGAGUGCAGAAGGGGAGAGUGGAAUUCCAUGUGUAGCGGUGAAAUGCGUAGAUAUAUGGAGGAACACCGGUGGCGAAAGCGGCUCU